GCAAGUCGAACGGUAACAGGAUGUGCUUGCACAUCGCUGACGAGUGGCGGACGGGUGAGUAAUGCUUGGGAACUUGCCUUUGCGAGGGGGAUAACAGUUGGAAACGACUGCUAAUACCGCAUAAUGUCUUCGGACCAAACGGGGCUCCGGCUCCGGCGCAAAGAGAGGCCCAAGUGAGAUUAGCUAGUUGGUAAGGUAACGGCUUACCAAGGCGACGAUCUCUAGCUGUUCUGAGAGGAAGAUCAGCCACACUGGGACUGAGACACGGCCCAGACUCCUACGGGAGGCAGCAGUGGGGAAUAUUGCACAAUGGGGGAAACCCUGAUGCAGCCAUGCCGCGUGUGUGAAGAAGGCCUUCGGGUUGUAAAGCACUUUCAGUUGUGAGGAAAAGUUAGUAGUUAAUACCUGCUAGCCGUGACGUUAACAACAGAAGAAGCACCGGCUAACUCCGUGCCAGCAGCCGCGGUAAUACGGAGGGUGCGAGCGUUAAUCGGAAUUACUGGGCGUAAAGCGCACGCAGGCGGUUUGUUAAGCUAGAUGUGAAAGCCCCGGGCUCAACCUGGGAUGGUCAUUUAGAACU
rnacentral:rRNA from 1 species